GCUGAUGAAGUGUGGUCGACGGUUUGGAGGAACUUAGAGCUUACGGGGACUUUUGCGACAAGCUGCAAUUAUUGACCAAGAGGAACCUCUUUUCAAUAAGGAUGCAGGUCUACGCUUCCGUUGUGGUGGUGUUGAUGGCGGCGGCACAGCUGAUUGGAGCGGUGGAGGAGAGAAGAUGGCUGCGCUGUUUUGCUCCCUAUAACUCCGCUGUCUGUCCCGGGGGCAGGGGCUACGACUGCUACGGUGUUGCCUGUGAUCCGGCACGUUGCAGCUGCUUCGACUCUGCCUCGGCUCAGGCCGCCGCCCCUUACUCCGCUCCUGGUACGUACCCAUACAACUGGUACAGCUACUACCGACACGCUAACUACGCAUACCCGCCCUACUACUUCAGACGUGGAAGCAAAGGAAAGGGAUCGGGUUCUUCAGAUUCCAAUUACCUGUACCGUCUCUACCUGUGGAACUAUCAGAACAGUCAAUCCCGCUCUGGAUAGAGGGAGCCACAGCUUGAAACGGAAAGGAUGCUUCUUCAUGAGUGAAGAAAAGGAUUCACGUUUAAAAAAUCUUCGCCCGUUAAGAAAGUGCCAAACUCAGUCAACCGAAGGAAUAAGCUGAUUGUUCUAAUAAGAAUAUUUUAAAGUUUAACACAAGCCUGUAGGAAGGUUGCAAGGGUUGCCAUGACUACGUUGUAUACCUCAAUUUUAACCUCACGGGCAACAGUGUUAAGGCUUUCAAAAUCUGACUGUUUGGGAAUAU